rnacentral:rRNA from 1 species
UGGGGAAUUUUGGACAAUGGGCGAAAGCCUGAUCCAGCCAUGCCGCGUGCAGGAUGAAGGCCUUCGGGUUGUAAACUGCUUUUGUACGGAACGAAAAGACUCUGGUUAAUACCUGGGGUCCAUGACGGUACCGUAAGAAUAAGCACCGGCUAACUACGUGCCAGCAGCCGCGGUAAUACGUAGGGUGCAAGCGUUAAUCGGAAUUACUGGGCGUAAAGCGUGCGCAGGGCGGUUAUAUAAGACAGAUGUGAAAUCCCCCGGGCUCAACCUGGGAACUGCAUUUUGUGACUGUAUAGCUAGAGUACGGCAGAGGGGGGAUGGAAUUUCCCGCGUGUAGCAGUGAAAUGCGUAGAUAUGCGGAGGAACACCGAUGGCGAAGGCAAUCCCCUGGGCCUGUACUGACGCUCAUGCACGAAAGCGUGGGGAGCAAACAGGAUUAGAUACCCUGGUAGUCCACGCCCUAAACGAUGUCAACUGGUUGUUGGGUCUUCACUGACUCAGUAACGAAGCUAACGCGUGAAGUUG